GCAUCUGUGGCCGAGGGGUUGAUGGCAACGGGCUCAUAAUCCGUCUUUUUUUAAACACCGUGGGUUCGAAUCCCGCCAGAUGCA
rnacentral:tRNA from 2 species